UUCCUUGGGGAAGGGUCUCUUCAGAUUGAAGGACACCCCACACCGCCGGGGGUCUUUCAUCUGGGGGCUCGUCCGGGAUAGAGACCCCCACCCAGGGACCACCGACCCAUUUUCGGGAGGUAAGCUGGCCAGCAUCUGUAUGUGUUAGUAGUCUUCUGUGUUU